rnacentral:rRNA from 1 species
UCCGGUUGAUCCUGCCGGACCUGACUGCUAUCGGAUUGGUACUAAGCCAUGCGAGUCAUUGUAGCAAUACAAGGCGGACGGCUCAGUAACACGUAGUCAACCUAACUCGUGGACGUGGAUAACCUCGGGAAACUGAGAAUAAACCACGAUAGAUCAUAGUGCCUGGAAUGGCUUAUGGUCCAAACAGUUUACUGCCAUGGGAUGGGACUGCGGCCUAUCAGCUUGUUGGUGAGGUAAUGGCCCACCAAGGCGAUUACAGGUACGGGCUCUGAGAGGAGAAGCCCGGAGAUGGGUACUGAGACACGGACCCAGGCCCUAUGGGGCGCAGCAGGCGAGAAACCUUAGCAAUGUGCGAAAGCACGACUGGGUCAGUCCGAGUGAUUCCUGAUAAAGGAGUCUUUUGCUUGUCCUAAAAGCACAGGUGAAUAAGGGGUGGGCAAGUCUGGUGUCAGCCGCCGCGGUAAUACCAGCACCUCGAGUGGUCAGGACGUUUAUUGGGCCUAAAGCAUCCGUAGCCGGCUUUGCAAGUCUUCGGUUAAAUCCACCUGCUCAACAGAUGGGCUGCUGGAGAUACUACAGAGCUAGGGAGUGGGAGAGGCAGACGGUAUUCAGUGGGUAGGGGUAAAAUCCUCUGAUCCAUUGAGGACCACCAGUGGCGAAGGCGGUCUGCCAGAACACGUUCGACGGUGAGGGAUGAAAGCUGGGGGAGCAAACCGGAUUAGAUACCCGGGUAGUCCCAGCUGUAAACGAUGCAAACUCGGUGAUGCAUUGGCUUAUGGCCAAUGCAGUGCCGCAGGGAAGCCGUUAAGUUUGCCGCCUGGGAAGUACGGACGCAAGUCUGAAACUUAAAGGAAUUGGCGGGGGAGCACCACAAGGGGUGAAGCCUGCGGUUCAAUUGGAGUCAACGCCAGGAAUCUUACCCGGGGAGACAGCAGAAUGAAGGUCAAGCUGAAGACUUUACCAGACAAGCUGAGAGGUGGUGCAUGGCC